GUCUCUGAUAGCUCAACUGGAAGAGGCUUCGGCGCGUAACUAAAUGAUCCGGGUUCGAAACCCGGUCUGGACU
rnacentral:tRNA from 1 species